CAGCCGCCGCGGUAUACGGAGGGUGCAAGCGUUAAUCGGAAUUACUGGGCGUAAAGCGCACGCAGGCGGUCUGACAAGUCAGAUGUGAAAUCCCCGGGCUUAACCUGGGAACUGCAUUUGAAACUGUCAGGCUGGAGUCUUGUAGAGGGGGGUAGAAUUCCAGGUGUAGCGGUGAAAUGCGUAGAGAUCUGGAGGAAUACCGGUGGCGAAGGCGGCCCCCUGGACAAAGACUGACGCUCAGGUGCGAAAGCGUGGGGAGCAAACAGGAUUAGAUACCCCUGUAGUCCCUGUCUCUUAUACA
rnacentral:rRNA from 1 species